rnacentral:rRNA from 1 species
GAUGAACGCUGGCGGCGUGCCUAAUACAUGCAAGUCGAGCGAAUGGAUUAAGAGCUUGCUCUUAUGAAGUUAGCGGCGGACGGGUGAGUAACACGUGGGUAACCUGCCCAUAAGACUGGGAUAACUCCGGGAAACCGGGGCUAAUACCGGAUAACAUUUUGAACCGCAUGGUUCGAAAUUGAAAGGCGGCUUCGGCUGUCACUUAUGGAUGGACCCGCGACGCAUUAGCUAGUUGGUGAGGUAACGGCACACCAAGGCAACGAUGCGUAGCCGACCGGGGAGGGUGCUCGGCCAACCUGGGACUGGGACACGGCCCAGGAUCCUACGGGAGGCAGCAGUAGGGAAUCUUUCGCAAUGGACGAAGGUCUGAAGGAGCAACGCCGCGUGAGUGAUGAAGGCUUUCGGGUCGUAAAACUCUGUUGUUAGGGAAGAACAAGUGCUAGUUGAAUAAGCUGGCACCUUGACGGUACCUAACCAGAAAGCCACGGCUAACUACGUGCCAGCAGCCGCCGUAA